CCCCAAGUCACUCCACGCACGGCCUCGGCGUCGCACAGCGUCCCCGCCCGGCCGGGGGCGGGGUCUCGGAGCCUGGGUCUGAGGGUGCGCGGGGGCGGCUGCGAGGUGUCUCUGGAUCCCUGAUCUUGGCUGACUAACCCCGCCGCCUCGCCCUGAGUGGAGCUCGACCGGUGGCCUUUGCCCCUCGCCUUUUGCUCUGCCUCCCCAGAGUCUCACCGAAUGCCUCGUGUGGACCAUGCUGAUGAAACAGACAUUUCCAAUCAAUUGUGCAAUGUCCACUGCGAGAUUCCAGAUGUGCCAAAGGCAGCAUUUCUGAACAUGACAACCGCUGGUCUCCGUCUCCCUCUAAGGCAGUACAUCCUCACUGCCCUGUGCGGGAGGACAACGCCUCCCACUCGCACGGAGACUCCGCGAGGCCUGCAACCGCCCCCAGCCCAGAGUGGCGCUGACCCGCUGGAGGCGUGACACAGCAGAAGGGACAAGGUGUCCGGGGCAAACGUGAGGUCAAGCCAAAGGAGAUGGCCCCAGAGACCUGGGAAUUCCCAAGGACAAAGGGCAGGGGAGGAAAAGCCCGCCUAGGACAGGGCUGCAGUCAGCUCUGCUCGGUGCACUGGGAGCGACAGGCGGCGGGUGCAGACGGCCCUCUGGAGUGAGAGGGCAUUUGGACACUGACCGCUUCUGCUAAUGGUGUGGCCACUCCGUCAGUUACAUCCCAUGGUAACCUUACGCCCCUGCGACCCGAUGUCAAGCGCUGCUCAGAGCACUGGCCCACAUGGUGGAGUGGGUGGGGAAACCCCCCCGCACAGCAGGGCACGGAGCUCGCCAGGGUCAUGCAGCUAUCAGGCAGCGGUCUGAACCCAUGGCCUGGCCCAGCCUCUGCUCUUGACCACCAGCCACUCUGCUGCUCAGUUAUCUGGGGUCCCCUCAACUUCUCAGAUCCCUUUAACAAGUCCUCUCAUUCUUAUGUGAAAAUGUCUCUCAAACUCCCAAAAUUCCAAUACCAAAAACAAUUUUGAA